rnacentral:lncRNA from 1 species
CCACAGUCUGUUCCCAAACAGCAAGCACAUGGCAGGCAGAAGAGAAUAUUAUAUUUUAAGGACAAGGUAUAUUGAAAGUCAAAUUGUUUAUUGAGCAUAUCAUGGAAGAGUAGCAGGAACACCAGGCUAAAUCAAAAGCAUAACCAUAGAACCAAAGUGUGUCAGCAAUAUUGGCAAGUCAGAAGUCAAUUUUAGUCCAUUGUAGCGUCCACCCCUGUAAACAAUUUGCAUGACGCUGGACAAGUGAAGGAGAUCCUCAUUUCAAACAAGAGCAUUAGUUGGCACAUUUCUCCACCUCAGUUACCUUUUCUUCUAAAGGGAGGCACAGUAACAGGGGAACGACGAUUAAGGAGUUGGGCAAACCAAAUUAUGAUCUCCCUAGUUGAGUGGUCGGGUGGUCUGUUCAAGGCUUGACGCUUCUGGUGAGGCGCCGGGGCCGGACGCUUCUGCUGAGGCGCUAUUGCUGAGGCGCCGGGGCCGGAUGCUAUUGCUGAGGCGCCGGGGCCGGACGCUUCUGCUGAGGCGCCGGGGCCGGACGCUUCUGCUGAGGCGCUUCUCCUGAGGCGCCGGGGCCGGACGCUUCUGCUGAGGCGCUAUUGCUGAGGCGCCGGGGCCGGAUGCUAUUGCUGAGGCGCCGGGGCCGGACGCUUCUGCUGAGGCGCCGGGGCCGGACGCUUCUGCUGAGGCGCUUCUCCUGAGGCUUCUGCUGAGGCGCCGGACGCUUCUCCUGAGGCUUCUGCUGAGGCGCCGGACGCUUCUGCUGAGGCGCCGGACGCUUCUGCUGAGGCGCCGGACGCUUCUGCUGAGGCGCCGGACGCUUCUGCUGAGGCGCCGGACGCUUCUGCUGAGGCGCCGGACGCUUCUGCUGAGGCGCCGGGGCCGGACUUCACACUUGACGGGGCAUUGUGGCCAGUAGAUUCUGCUGACGUGGCAUUGUGGCCAGUAGCUUCUGCUGACGUGGCAUUGUGGCCAGUAGCUUCUGCUGACGUGGCAUUGUGGCCAGUAGCUUCUGCUGACGUGGCAUUGUGGCCAGUAGCUUCUGCUGACGUGGCAUUGUGGCCAG